AACGAACGCUGGCGGCAUGCCUAACACAUGCCAGUCGAACGAGACCUUCGGGUCUAGUGGCGCACGGGUGCGUAACGCGUGGGAACCUGCCCUUAGGUUCGGAAUAACUCCCCGAAAGGGGUGCUAAUACCGGAUAAUGUCUUCGGACCAAAGAUUUAUCGCCUUUGGAUGGGCCCGCGUUGGAUUAGCUAGUUGGUAGGGUAAAAGCCUACCAAGGCGACGAUCCGUAGCUGGUCUGAGAGGAUGAUCAGCCACACUGGGACUGAGACACGGCCCAGACUCCUACGGGAGGCAGCAGUGGGGAAUAUUGGACAAUGGGCGAAAGCCUGAUCCAGCAAGGCCGCGUGAGUGAUGAAGGCCUUAGGGUUGUAAAGCUCUUUUACCCGGGAUGAUAAUGACAGGACCGGGAGAAUAAGCGCCGGCUAACUCCGU
rnacentral:rRNA from 1 species